GUCCUCCAGUAAAAGGACAGGCUCUUACACUCCAAGAAAGCUACUGCCGCUCUCUAGGGCUGCUCUGACAUGGGUUUCAUGUGUUUCUUUUGUUCUGAGGUUGAAAGUUCCCAACCUCACCUCAUGUGAUUGAAUGUCCAAAGCUGGUGCUGUACAGAAACAACAAAAGUAAGGGCCUGUUAAGGUCUCCACAAAGCCUACCAAUACACAGCACAAAGUUUGUGGGUUUUGCAGGAGGUUCUGAAAAAUGUCCACUAGAACCUUGAGCAUGAGAUUUUGAGAGACAAUCAGUUAAGUUGUGAUGUUCUACCAAAAAAAAUCAUUGGUUUAAUGCUUAUUACAGGGAGAAUUGUUCUAAUUUUAACAAAGCUCCUGCCAAACUGUGGUUGAUUACAUCUGGGAGGUCAUUUAGAGCACCAGCACUGCAGUUGCUAGAUAAAUGUAAAGUUAGGCUCCUGGAAUAUGAUUUACAAAUCAAACCUAUCUCUGCACAUAUUACUUCUGAUUUGGAACAGAUAAAAUUUGUACAACAAUAAAGAACUAUUUUUCCUUGACUAUUGGGACAUAACUACUAUUAUUACUGACCUUAUCACCCUUGCUCCACUGCUCAACUGCAGAUCCUAAUGCACAUUUAAUAUUGUGAGUCUCCUUUUCCCCUCAUUCUGACCCUCACAACUUCUUUGCAGUCAACACAAUUUGAGAACUGAACCCAAGAGGAUUCGCUUUACCCUCUCUCAUCUGUCAUGUGGUUGUAUCUUCUGGUGUUAAACAUGACGACAGACAGAGAGCAGUGACUUCAAACUGAACCCAGCUAAAGCCUACAAGCUUCACUUGUGUUAAUAAUGUAUGAUGAGGGGCAAUUUGAAGUUGGAAUGUAAUAUGAAAGUGUAAAAUAUUCAUGAGCAAACAGGAUUAUGAAUGCAAAACCUAACAAGACUAUGAUGUGGGGAUAAUGACACACACAUGUAUUUAGUAUUUCUAUCUAUUUUUAGACUUGCAUUGACUGAUUGCCUGAUCCCUGACCUGAGCCAUAACCACAAUUUAAAUUUUAGCCCUAAAAUUAACCUGUUCCUCAGAAAUGAGGCUCUGUGUGGACCAGGUUUGGGACUAUGAUCAACUACUUGCCCUGACAAGGUCAAUGUUUAGCCCACAGGAGCUCUCUCGUCUACCAGUUACCCAGUUGGACAACUCCAGUUGUCACUCUCCUUGCGUAGGUAGAACCCAGGGGAUGAACUGGUGAGUGUCUGUACUGCAGAAAUCUGUGUCAUUUCCUUGCAGGUUGUCCAGUGUGGGCAAAGGUCUGGGCCCAUCAGUAAAGUGGGGAUACUGAUGGGCCAGAGUGGGACCUCCUCUGUUUUCUGUUGAAUGCCAGUCUCUGUCUGGAUGGAUCAGUUUUCCCCCUGUCAGUUCUCAUUGAUUCAGGUGCUGAGGAGAACUAAAUGGAACAGGAACUGGCUAAACAACUUCUGAGCAGUCAUCUCUCACCAAGGUGGUGCAGUGGGGACAUUCUUCUCACGUCUCAUGUCACCCUGGUGCCAACAGAACUCUGUCACUUAUCCGUCAUCAUUUCUGGUGGCCCACUAUGGAAGCUGAAUUUGUCGCUGCUUGUUCUACAUGUACCUGCAGUAAAGCAUCUCAUAAAGUCCCAUCUGGUUUAUUGUGCCUGCUUCCUGUCCCUGACCAGCCCUGGUCCCACAUAGCCUACAACUUUGUUACUGGUCUACCUCCCUCUCAAGGUAACACAAUAAUCCUCCUAUUGUUAAACACCUCUCUAAAGCAGCUGAUUUCAUUCCACUACCCAUAUUACCCACGGCCUCUGAAAGAGCUGACCUUGUCACUAAUCAUGUAUUCAGCAUCCAUGGCACUCCCCUGGACAUUGUAUCUGAUCAAGGGCACAGUUUGUUUCUUAGGUGUGGAGAACAUUCUGUUUGACCCUUGGUGUAGCAGUCAGUCUCUCCUCUGGCUUCAUCCUCAGACCUGUGUUGUAGAGAACAAUCCUUCCUCCUGUAGUACUUACCUUCCCUGGGUGGAGUACACGCACAACUCCUUGGUCUCCUCUGCCAUCAAGCUUUUCCACCAACAGGAGAAGAAUUGUGGUCCUGUCAGUCCAGGAGCACCUGGGGUGAUGCUGCGAAAUCUGGUAGGACACUUGGGCUGCACUACAACGCUCGUCUGAGCUUGCCCAACAGUCAGCAAAUCAUCACAGCAACCUGUACUCUGAAGUGACCCCCUUCCUGCCUGGACGGACUCUCCCCUCCGACUUCAAGGGCAAGCUUCUCUCAUCACUCCACAUCAUGACCAGCUAUUUUCAAAGCGUCCCUGACCGAGAACUUGUCAAACAUCAAGACUGAGUUGCAGGCAGUGAAGUCGGAGCUAAGUGGCAGUAUUACAAACAUCCAGUCUGAUGUGCGUGCUCUGAAGGACACCAUAGGUGAAAUGGAAACAUCACUCUCCACCUACUAUGUUACAAUAUCUGUCAGCAGAUUUGAUAAGAUUGGACAAUAAAUGCAAUGAUUUGGAGGUGAGAUCUCGGCGCAAUAACAUACGAUUAGUGGGGAUUCCCGAGGAUUUUUCCACCUCUUCUACUGCUACAGCUGUUUCCUCUUUGCUCAAGGGGGCUUUUAAGGAGAAGGAGCCUCUCGUGGAGAGCGCCCUCGCCCCAUAGUCGCUCAUCGACACUAUCAUACGGACUGUGUGGACAUAUUGUGCCGAGCCAGGGCCCGGCACAAUAUGUCCAGUGUUUUUGUCUCUUCUUUCUUUCUUUUUUUUCUACAUUCAGUCUAUUUCUCAUUUCUUUCUAAAAAACAUAUGGCCACUAAUGCUAGCAAUGCUCAUGUACCACAUAUUGGGUCUUCUGUGACAUUUUUGAACUGGAAUAUUAAAUGCAUGGGGAGUCCAAUUAAGACAUGGAGGAUGUAUGCUCAUUUGAAACGUCUUAAGGCUGACAGCGUUUCUGCAGGAAGCCCACAUGCG